GGAGGGAAGCCCAUCAGUGGGGCACAAGCUGAGUGCAUUUAGUCACUCCAUCCCAUGUCCCUUGGGAAGGUCUGAGACUAGGAGAAAAAAAAAAACAAGUAUGAAAGAAUAGGUUUGAAAAAAUUAAGCUACCAACUGAAGAGAUGAAAAGAACAGCACAGUCAGUCU
rnacentral:sRNA from 1 species